rnacentral:rRNA from 1 species
UGGGGAUGACGUCAAAUCAUCAUGCCCCUUAUGACCUGGGCUACAAACGUGAUACAAUGGCUGAAACAAAGGGCAGCGAAGCAGUGAUGUGGAGCGAAACCCAAAAAAGCAGUCUCAGUUCGGAUUGAAGUCUGCAACUCGACUUCAUGAAGUCGGAAUCGCUAGUAAUCGCGGAUCAGAACGCCGCGGUGAAUACGUUCUCGGGGUUU